CCAAAACCAAACUCCUGAAUGAAUACUUCAUGUUUGUAUUCCACCAGUCCAAGGGUGUUAGCUUGCUUGACAGGAUACAAGAGAAUCAUGGAUGAGGAG